rnacentral:misc_RNA from 1 species
GGGCAACAUAAUCAACCAUUAAAAACAGAGGAGGAUAAAAACCACAACUUUCAUUUUCCAUAAUGGAAAUUCUUGCUAACGCAGAUAGUACUGCAACGACAAGCAUUACAAUCGAUGCACGGUAUAAUACAGCUACUGUGACAAUGAUAAGACUACAAAGAACUCUCUAAACAACAAAUCGGAAACAUGUGCGCACACAAAUACUGGGGUGGUGUGUCUACAUGCAUGCACAAGUUUCUAGAACUGGUCUGACAAGAAUGUCUUACAAUCAUCAGAGGAACAAAUAUCACUCAGUUGUCAGAAGGCAUCCCAGUGGUCCUUUCUAAAUCCAUCUUGCAAUUUUCUCUUAAAUCUUUUAGUGCAACAAAGUUGGCUUGAAGCUGGUUGUUUUCAUGAACAAAUAUAUCCUCCAUAUGAUGAAAGAGAGACCUCCAUUGAGUCGUGAGGUCAGACUCCAAUUUUGAGGAUUUGUUGGAGUUCCCUUGGCUAUGGAUGUCAGUCUGCUUUCCCCUGGCAUAUUUAUUAACCAAGAUGCUUGCUUCUUUCUGACUCUUCUUUAAUGCUAGAAGGACAAAGAAAUAGCAUGAAAUCCAUGACCAAAAAAGCUACAUCACAGUUGACAUGGUAAGUGAAAGUUGGAGAAAAUUGCAAAUGAAGUAAUGGUAGUUAGUCUUUUUUUUCUUCCUGCACAAGCUUACCAGCUGUUCGUCCUUUAAUAUCCUGGUAAUGGAGGUCUGACCAAAUAUAAGCAGCUGAUUGACCAAAUAGACAUGUGAUGGGUAAAUUUCAUAAUCAAUGUCCAAUAAACAAAUUCAAAAGUCAGUGUUUAUAAUUACCUUUCAAGCAAAAAGAACAAGAGCAAGCUUUCAUCAAGUCAGCACCUGCACUCAAAUUAGCACAACCAUUACCUUUAAGAGCCGUGCACCUAUCCAACUCAAAUGAUUUGGAGCCCUGUGACUUGGGCAACCUUGACCACUCAACGGGCCCAUAUUUACUACUGGCCAAUAUACCAACACCAAGAUCCUUGUCAACACCUGUACCAACAUGACCUUCCGGAUUGCUUUGCUUUACAUCAGAAGUGAGUCUCCCUUCAUCAUCACUAUCUUUCUUGCAAGACGACGAGUUUGUAGGCAUUGAACCAGUAGACGCACUACUAUCUCUCGAUGCAUCCCCACCUUCCCCAACACUCUGUGUCAAUGUAACACUCUUAAGAACAUUGACGCCGCCAUCUAACAAGAGAGAUGUUUCCUUAUUUUCAUUAGGUCUAUGUGAGAUUAUGGAAACAGUAUUCUCCUGCGAGGUAUCAAUAUCGCUAUCAGUAGGUGAUGAAUCGCUAGGUUGCUUAUCUUCCAUGAGAAACAAACCUUUCUCGCUACUAUUAUCAAUCCCAAAUUUGGUUUUACAUUUCUCUUUGACCAAAUUUUCGACUCCUAAACACACUUGUUUUGCACAACGUGAAUCCUCAUCUUCAGUGACCAGUCUUUUACCAUACCCAUCUCCAGAUUUAAGCCGCACAUCAUUCGAAACUGAUGAAAACUCUCUUUCAAUGGGACAAUUGGUCAGAUCUCCCAAAACAACACGCUUUUUGGAAACCCCUUCAGUGAAGUUAUCUCCACUCAUCAUUCUUCUAAUAGCAAGGAAACAGAACCUAUAAACGCUAUCAACUUCAGAAAACAAAAAAUAAUCUACAACCCAAAUUCACCAAAAAGAAAACCCACUUCACCAAUUAGACAACCUCGAUAAAAAAAUAUAAUAAUCAUUGAAUUAAACCCACAGAUCGUCAAACCUGGAAACCGCAUCAUUAAAAAGAAAAGGAUAAAUAAACUAAACUUAGUUUCAAUCAUGUGAAACAAAUCUCUAAAACUAAUUACAACAUACCCAGAAAAAAUAGCAGGAACAAAAAAACAAAAAACGUCAAAUAAUCCGCCAGAUUUUACGGAAUAAAAGCCCUAGAAUUCACCCAAAAAAAAUGGAAAGAUUGAUGUGAAAAACUUGAAAUUUGAUUGAGAUGUUGGAGAUACUGACCUUAUAGAAUCAUUGAAAAGGAAAAAGUGCAUCAGGAUAUGCAUAUCUUAGUCAUCUCUUAGAUCAGAGGGCUUUCUUCGAACAGGCAAGAGUAUAAUUCACUACCAAUUUUUGCAGAGGCGGGAACCAAGUGAAUGCGGACCCUGACCCGCAUUUUUGAAUUAUUUGGACUUUUG